UUAAGUUCAGCGGGUCUUCCUACCUGAUCCGAGGUCAACCUUGGGUAAAUAAGGCUUUUAACGGCCGGAACCCGCAGCACUCCCAGAGCGAGAUGUAUUACUACGCUCGGGGUGACAGCGAGCCCGCCACUGGUUUUCAGGGCCGGCGGGGUGCUGCCGGUCCCCAAGGCGACGUCCCGGGGGACGUCGAGGGUUGAAAU
rnacentral:misc_RNA from 1 species